rnacentral:other from 21 species
GUUUCUACUAUCUUUUGAUUUCUGG